CUUUUAUCUGCAAGACCAGUGAACGUGUCUCAAAGAGUUCCUCUUAGCUUACAGUUACUCACACAUUUUAGAAGCCAACAAAACUAACAGCAAAUUUUAGAGAAUUCAAAACGUCCUGAGGACCAGUAUAUGUGAAUCUCACAGGUUACUUGAAGACAUCGAAACACUUGAAGCACAGCUGAACAGUCUUCUUCACACAAUGGGCAACUGUAUAAAGGUUCUGAGCGAAGAAAAGCAGAGGAUUGCAGAAGAAGCAAGACAGGCUGCCUCUGAGAUAAUACAGGAUGCUAUUGAUAAAAAGUGUUACGGCCUCCCAGUCACCUACAGCAACACUUGUUCAGAUCCAGUCGACUCCUACACGUUCUGCUGCAUUCCCACCAAGGAAUUUCUGCAGGAUCUUCUAGCCAAGCUCAGUGAAGCACGUUUCAUGGAGGACAAAAAGCCUGGAAAGUGUGAUACCUUUGCUUAUGUCAUUCCACAGAAUAAAGAUGUCAUUAUUUAUUUGUGUAAACAGUUCUGGAAGGCAGGAGACACACUGUGCGAAGAUUCAAAGCCUGGAACACUAAUCCAUGAAGUUUCUCAUCUGUUGGGUACAGAGGACAUCUUUUAUGAACACAUGACUGUAGAGUUAUAUGAAGCUUACGGGAUUCUGAUGGGAAAGUCAAAAUGUGUCAAGGAUCUCCAUGGGAAAGGACAUCGGGAGGAAGUGUUUCAGGUGAACGCCAACAGCCUAGAGCAUGAGUUUGAGACCAUCAUCAACCAUAAGGGAGCAUACUCUGAUGGUAAAUACCAGUGCUGUGGAGAAACCAAGAAAAACUCUGUUUGCACACAUAAUUCUGCAGACCAUUACGGUCUGCACGAAAGAUUCCCUUCACAGAGAGAUGAGAUGCAGCGCAAGCUGGAAAAAUUCUGGCAAGAGGCAUCUGCUCGCUUAAACCAGAAACAAAAGAUAAAAUAUGUGAAGAAAAAGAACAAGGCCUGCGAGAAGAUUCCUGUUUCUGAGGCCUGA
rnacentral:lncRNA from 1 species